rnacentral:misc_RNA from 1 species
GUGAAUCAUCGAAUUUUUGAACGCAAAUUGCACUCCCUGGUAUUCCGGGGAGUAUGCCUGUUUGAGGGUCGGUAGAAGUAAAAUCGAGGCAUCGCUCUUUUUUGUGAGGGUGAUGGCGUCGGGAUUGAGCCGUCUUUCAAAUGCUAAUUCAUGUCAAAGUGGCUUAAAAUUGAUCCAUCCGAUACGAUUAAAGCGUAUUUAAGAUCAAUUUUGAUUAAGAACGCUCGAUGACGUACCAUCUCAUGUAGUACGUUUGACCUGGGUCAUCAGGUUCAUUCGUAUACUAUACUCAAACUUUUGA